rnacentral:rRNA from 1 species
AUUGAACGCUGGCGGCAGGCUUAACACAUGCAAGUCGAACGAGUGGCGGACGGGUGAGUAAUGAUUGGGAAUCUAGCUUAUGGAGGGGGAUAACUACGGGAAACUGUAGCUAAUACCGCGUACCAUAGGAUGAGCCCCAGUGGGCUUAGGUAGUUGGUUAGGUAAAGGCUCACCAAGCCGCCGAUCUCUAGCUGGUCUGAGAGGAUGACCAGCGACACGGGGACUGAGACACGGCCCAGACUCCUACGGGAGGAAGCAGGGGGAAAUAUUGCGCAAGGGGGGCAACCCUGAUGCAGCCAUGCCGCGUGUGUGAAGAAGGCCUUAGGGUUGUAAAGCACUUUCAGCGAGGAGGCGUUACUCGCAGAAGAAGCACCGGCUAACUCCGUGCCAGCAGCCGCGGUAAUAC